rnacentral:lncRNA from 1 species
UCUUGUCUCGUCACCAAUAGUUAGGUGAUCUAGUUGUGAUCGACGUUAGACUUGGAAGGGAGAGCCAUAGUUCGAUCCCCCGCAACUGCGAUCAAGAGGGGGCUGGAACCACUUGAUGCCAGAACUGACUCUGAACCAGAUUAAGCGGUCCAAUAGGCCGGAUACUGAUGGUGAUCGAAAACAAAAAUAAAAAUAGAAAUUCUUGUUUUGCCCCUGAUGAGUUUCAUAGUCCUUACCUCACAUGCAGCCGAGGCAGGUCCAAAGUAAACCGUUCUACCUGAAGAUAGAAGACAAAGAUUAUGAAAAAGUUGAAAAACUUCAGUACUAGGUUGAUGGANNNNNNNNNNUCCACUUGUUGGUUCAUCAAGAAACAGAAGUCUAGGACGUGUUAGAAUCUCAAUGCUAAUGCUGACUCUCCUUUUUUGACCUCCACUUAUUCCUUUUACACCCCACCCUCCAAUUCUUGUGUUAAUUGCAUCUUGUAGACCCAUUUCCUUGAUUGUAAAAUCAGCUCUUUCUUUCUUCUCUUCUUUAGACAUUGUGUUAGGUAAUUGAAGUUGAGCUGAAUAGUACACUGCUUCUCUGACGGUUAAAGUUGUCAAUAAUGUAUCAUCUUGUGUGACAUAGGCCUACAUAGAAUAUUAAUGAAAGAAUUAAUAGUUGAGCAUAAUCCCUUUUUUUUAGAGUUAAAAAUUAAUUAACUUCUUACCGAAGUUCCAUAAGAUAGUUCUUGUUUGUGACCAUUGAUCAAAAUUUCCCCUGUUUGUCUUGUGUUUGAGCUCAAUCUCCCUAAAAAAUAUAUAUAAAUUUGUAUCGAUAUAUUAUCUAUGAAGCAUGGACUCCGACAUUCAUACUUGACAUGACACAAACCUUAUCACGUUGAUAUUGUUAAUGUAAAAAACACAGGACACCGAUAUAUAUACAUAUAUGAGCAAUUUAUUUUAUCCAUCUAUUUUAGCGUCGAAAUGUUUGCGGAUUCUAACUUGAGCGUCUGAGUUUCUCCAGUAAAGCCCCCUUCUUCUUCAUUAGCGUCAACAAAGUCAUUUAUGAUUUUCAAUAAUAAUAAUAAUAAUAAUAAUAAUAAUAUAAUAUAAUACUCCCUCCGUUUUUUUAGUGUCGUUUUAGAAUAGUAACACCAAAUUAAGAAAGUGGAUUUUUUCACCUUAUCUUCCUAUUUUACCCUUAUUUUAAUAUUCCUAUUUUUUUGCACACACUUUCACUUUCCAAUAAAUUUAAUAUAUUAUGUAAAAAAAAACAAAAAUUUAAUACGUUAAGUACGAAAAUAAAUAAAAAAAAUUUAAUUUUUCAAAUAUAUAGCAUUAAUUAUUUUUAUUAAAAAAUAUAAAAGUAUUUGAUAAAGAAUAUAAUUGACAAAUCGUACUCUAAAAAUACAAAAUCGACAGUUAUUUUAAAACGCUAAAUAUGACAAAAAAAAAUGACACUUUAAAAAACGGAGGGAGUAUAAGGUAAACACUCCAUUAUUUUAGACUUGCAAGUUUAUAUAAAAUUAGAUAUUGUGCGAGUAUAAUUGUUUUUUUUGUAUAAUAUAAUAAUUAAAAUUAAUCAAGAUAUUGAGUUUAAAUCGUUAAUGAGUUUCACCAAAAGAACAAAUUAUUUGGAAGAAUUCGAGUUCUAUUCCUAGGUAGAACAAUUUAUUGGUCAAACUUUACCUACCUCAUGGUCGAACUCUGGAUUACUAAGUUUCCUUCUCCUAAAAAUCAGAUGGUUAACACCAAAAAAACAAAUCGAUUAUAAUUAUUAACUAAAGUUAAUAUUUUGAAGGAUAAUAUUUUUUGUAACAAUUUUUUUUUGAAAUUUUGCAUCCCUGAUCCAAGAUCCUGGCUCCGCCACGGAUCAAACACUGAUCUAAAGAAUCUUGAAUCAUUUGUUUCCUUUUAAAUUUUGUUUUUAAUUUUUUAUCUUCUUGACUUAAAAGGAACGCUUUUGUACCAAAAAAAAUUAAAAAUAAAUAAAUAAAGGAACGCUUUAGAAUAAAAGUGAAACAAUUGCCAAGUUAUUUAAAAUAAUAUUUUUUUUUGUUGAGAAAAUAGACUCUUUUUUUUUUGACGUGCCUCCUCAUUUUUUUGUUUUUUUUUGGUCAAGUAGAAAAAAAAGAGUUAGGAUCCUCUCCAUUUCGAGUUAGGAUCUCAACUCGAAAAAAAACACUUGACAGUUUAAAAAAAAUUGGUCAUUAUGGACAAAAAACUAAACGAAAAAUUUUAUAGGAGACAAAAAUAUUCCUAAUUCCUAAUAUGUGCUGGGAUGUGGCCAAAGAAUUACUCACUUUUUUUUUUAUUAAAGAGAAUUACUCACUUGUUUUUGUUUUUUUUUUUUAAACAAGAAUUACUCACUUGUAUGAGUAACUGUGAAGGGAUUAUUUUGUUUGUGUUAACGCUCCUAAAACAAGGGAAAGAGUAAAUAAUCUGAAAUUUGGUCGAAAAAAAAAAUCAAUAAUUGUUAUUAUUACAAUAAAAUUUAUGUACACAAAUAAAACAUGAAAGAAAAUCUUGAGUGUUAAUUUUUAAUCAAUAAUAACAAUUAUAUAUUUUACUUUUUUAAACAUUUCUUCUAUAAGAAUAAGAACUAAGAAGAAUAAAAUUUUAUUAAAAAAAGAGUAAAAAAUCCAAAAUUUUUUUGGUAUUAAAAAAAUCCAAAAUUUUAUGUUUGUCUUCGCUGCACAUGUGGAAGGCCGAGGCCAGAUACGAGGUUUACUCUAUUUCUAUUUUUGUCGGAUUUUAUUUUAUUUUUUACUAAAGUGUCGGCUUGGAAUAACGCUAAUUUUUGGUAUUUAAUUUAUUAUUAAUAGCACAUUUCCUUUUCAAUUUUUAUAUAUAUGGAAACUUUUGUGAUAAAAAACAUACUACAUAUCUCCUUAUCUUUAAGGAAAUUUUUAUUGAGUGAGAUUUGUUUGGACCAUGUUUUUUUGGAGACGUUUAAGAAAAUAAAGACCAUUUGUUGAGAUCCCACCAUACUGUGCUCUGUGUCUUUCUUUAUCUCUGAGAUUGAGUGCUUUCAUUAGUUUGCAACCGCAUCUAGUUAAUGAGAUCAAAAUUAUUUGAUUGAGAUCGGACGAUUUAAAUUUAAAGGUCAAAAUAUUUAUAUUUUAAAAAAUUAAAAGUGCAUUUAAAUAUGAAUGGUCUGAUGCACCAACUUCAACUUAAUCGAUUGCUUAAUCUAUUUUUCUCGCAAGAGUUUGAUAUUUUAAAUAAAAAUAUAAAAUAUCUUUUUGGAUUGAAAACGGUUUGAAAUUUUCAGUUCAUACAUUAUAAUCCAUAGGUUUGACACUACUAGCAAAAUGAAUAAUAGCAUAUUUGGUUACACGUUUUUCAUAACAAACUCCGUAAAAACCUUUUAGCCGUGAUUUUCAGAAGCGGCAAAUCCUAUAGCUUCCGAGUCAACGUGAAACGACGUUAAAUUUUUAAUCAACCUGACGUAAAAUCAAACAGACGCUAAAUAUAAACUUAGUUUUUAAUCAACAUGAUGAAAAGACAUACCGGCUAAAGUAUCGAGUAACGUAGACUUGCCACAGCCGGAAGGACCCAUUAUGGCCAAGAGUUGGCCAGGUUUAGCAUAACCAGUUAAUCCUUGAAGAAUUGAUUUGCUGCCAUUCUUUCCAUUUGAUGAAAUUGUAUUUACCCAUAUAUCCUUCCAUGUUAAGCAUAUACCAUUAGACGAAACUUCAUCUAAUGUGGUUGUAGUUUCAAUGUCUAGAACACUUCGUUGGAGUGAUUUUUCUGAACUACUGAUUUUAAUUUCACAACUAGAUGGGAGAGAUAGGGAAGAAGCCAUUAAGAGUGGUUGUAGUUUAGAGCAGAGAGAUAUGUGAAUUCGUGAGAAAAUUCAUCACACAUAUAUAGAGCUUUUAAUGUUUUAAUGCUUGCAUAUGUUUCACAUUUUUUUCAUUUAUAUGGAUGUACUUCACUCUCUUUGAUAAAUGAUCGGUGUCAACCGUCAAAAUAACUAAGUUAGGAAGGAUAUUAUUAUAUGAGUAAUGUUAAGUAGUGAUCACAUAGUCUCGUUUGACUCAGUUGAUAGAACAUUUAAGGUUGAAAUAUUUAAUCACUAGACUACUUGAAAAAAAAAUAGUGAUCACGGAAUAUUUGUUACACAUAUUGAAAAAAGUAAUUUUUUUUUUGAGCCUUUAAAGACAAGAAACCAGUAUAUUAAUUAGAAGGUAAAAGAGUUACAUAACCCAUAUCUUUUUGGAUAUGAGUUAGAAUGCACAUAGGAAAACAGGUGGUCCAAGACCUAUUGGGCUCCACUAAGGCCCAUCUAGCCAACUCAUGUGCCGUUUCAUUUCCUUUUCUAUUUACCCAAGUUACAGAAACAUCGUUCAAUCGAAAAAGAACCCUAGCACCGGUGCGAGCGACCUGACCCCAAUCAGUUCUGGGAAAAACGUGUUGAUUCAAAGCGUGGACGAUAUUAGCUGCAUCAAUCUCAUUUAUAGAGUGCUUCAAGUAGCCCAGUUGCUUCCGCCAUUGUUGCAUCAUGAGUACCAAAGCAGAUUCGUGUUUCCGCCCCAACGCAGCGGCCAUCGUCCCUCCGCAAGAUCAUUCCAAAAGCCCAACGGCCAUCAUCCUAAAGAUGAGCAUCCACGUUGAGCUUGAGGAAGUUCGAGAGAGAGAGACUCCAACAAAUGUUGUAAAAAAGUAAUUAUUUAUAUUUUAAGGUAUUAAAUUUAACUUGUAAAAAAAAAAGAAAGUAUUAAAUAUACAAUGUUUAAAAUAAAAUUUCUUUAUUAAUAUGGUUAAUUAGUAUUCGGGAGCACUGUUUAAUUUUUUUCCUUAUUAUAUAUACUCGUCUUUUUUUAUACUAAAAAAACGAUAUUCGAGUACAUCAAACGCAAGUACAAAUUCAACAUCGCUAAAAACAAAAAAGAUGAAUACGCAAACAAACUCACAGCAUCCAUGUUAAUAUAUAGCAUAUAACGGAAAAAUGUCUACAAAUAAUAUGAUAACCUUAAAGUCACCGGAAUGUUCAUACUUCCGGAUCUGUAACGAUGAUGCCCAAAUCAUAUUGAUUGAAUCUGCAAUUGAUAGAAGUUGAUAUUUCAAUAUGAACUAAACGAACACCGCAACAAGACGGAAAAUCAAACGUCGUACCAAAUACCAAUGACGACCAACAACACAGCGUCGAACUCAGACGACGAAAUCACAAUAAAAGAAACAAACAAAAAGACUUAAUCUAGAAUAGCAAAAAAAAAACUUAAUUUAUGUGAAAAAUCACUUAUUUAAAUUAAAAAUAAAGAAGGAAAGAUGCAUAGAGAAAAUUAAUAUACUCAAUUUUAUUAAAUUAUAUAUACUCAUUUUAAAAUACAAUAUUAUUUAUUAAAUUAAUAUAAUCAAUUUUGUUUCUUAUUUUCUUAAUUGAUAAUGAAGUAAAUGAAACUUUGUAUAGAGAAAAUUUAUAAUUAUUUUUUUUUUUGAAGAAGAGAGAAAAUUUAUUUUAGAUAAUUUUCUAUUAAUUUAGUUUUGAAAAUAGUAGAACAUGAGACCUUUUAUUAAGUAAUUUCUAAAAUAUUUUUGGAGGCAUAAGACGAUUGCCUUUUUGAUCUUACUCUUAGACUGGCCCAAGCUAUUUAUUACUCCCUCCGAUUCUUUUUAUAAGAAACACUUUGAAAUUUUUAUUUGGUCCUUUUUAUAAGAAACACUUUGACACAAUUCCAUUUGUACCCUUAUUAAAUACAAUCAAAUAAUUCAUUAUGAUGCUAGUGCAUUAAUUAGAGAGACCUAUUUCCCAUACUAGUCAAAGGUUAGUUUUGGAAUAUAACAUAAAAUGUUAGAAUCAUUAAUGAGAAAAUUUACCUUCCUUGGUCUGUGUAAUUUUGUCAAAGNNNNNNNNNNNNNNNNNNNNNNNNNNNNNNNNNNNNNNNNNNNNNNNNNNNNNNNNNNNNNNNNNNNNNNNNNNNNNNNNNNNNNNNNNNNNNNNNNNNNNNNNNNNNNNNNNNNNNNNNNNNNNNNNNNNNNNNNNNNNNNNNNNAUAUGCCUAUAAUUUGAAUGAAUAUUGGGAGUACUUAUUUGAACUAGUCAUCAAGCCCAUGCGAAACGGGUCAUUAAUUAUAGAUCAAUUAUAUUAUAUAUCUGUUUUGCCUAAGAACAAAGUAAUUCAUACUCGUAGAAACUGAAGAUAUUUAUUGUCUAAUUUAUUUUCACCAACUUACUUAAAUAUGAAAUUACAAACAAUCCUAUAAAUUACGGAAAAUUUAUUUAUAAACUACAUUUGAAGUGAUAUUUGUAAGGUUAUCAUUAUCAUCAACGAUUAAAAUCUUUAAACCAUUUCUCGAUGUGACUCUUGACACAACAACGUAUAAUUGACCAUGUGAAAAUACUGAUUGCGAAAGAUACAUUUCAACAUUUUUCAGUGACUGACCCUAACUCUUGUUAAUAGUCAUGGCAAAUGAAACAGCGAUAGGAAACUGCCGACGUUGAAAUUUGAAAGGGAUUAUGACGUCAGAUGAUGUUAAGGAUAAUCUGGGAAUAAAAACUUUGUCGCUAUAUUGCUUCCUGGUAUUACCUUUCCUUCUAUAAUAAAUUGUCUCAUCUUUAUAACAAUCAAUCGAGUUCCAUUGCACAAUCCAUGAGCUGGAUCAAUAUUUCUCAAUAACAUAACUGAAACUCCAACUUUCAAUAUUAACUUGUGAUUUGGAAAGCCAGAACAGACAAUUGUAUUUAAAAACUCAGGAGUGUGUAUAUCAUCCGACCUGACAACAAAUAUAUUUUCUCAUCACCAUCUAUCAAUGACAACAUGUACUCAUUAAUCAAGUCAACAAUUGAAUUUUUUUGAGUCAAUAUGAUUCUAUUCUAAAAAAAUGAAGGAUCUUUCAUAUUAUUAAAUAUAGAUGGAUAUAUGGCAGUAACAAUCUAGACAAUAUGAUCAUCCGAGCUUGAAAUCAUAACAUCAUCUGGAAUACACAACAUGAUGUCAACAUCAUCUCUGUCUCCAAUACUUCCUUCAACAAUUCCCAAAACUCAAUACUUUCAAGAUUUGUGUUUUUUCUUAGUGGCUGAUAAAAAAAAUCAAUUUACAUAGGUUUAAUAAAUACGGGUCCGUGAAUAUUUUCAAAUCAAUUAAGCACCAUCUUACACGAUUUUGUUUAAUAAUCUGACUCUUUCAAUUCGUUUUUUUAAUACUAAUAAUUUCAAGUUAAAAAAAAAAUUAUAAAUUCUUUUUCUUUUUAUUUUUUACGAUAAAACUAUAAUAAGUCUAAUAGCUAAGAAUUCACAUUUUUUUUAUUAUCAUAAGAAAAUUGACCCACUUAAUUGUCCUAUGAGAAGAUAUAACUUCUUUUUCUUUGCACUCUUUGUAACAUAAUGGAGGUUCUUUAAUAUAUAAUUUUGUACGGUGUUUAAAAAAAAAAGAAAUAAUUUUGUCAAAAAAAAAGAAAAGAAGAAGAAAUAAUAGUAUAUAUUUUGAGAAGAUAAUUCAUUGCAAAUAUUGUCGUGUAAUAAUAAAUUGUCCAUGUGAUCAGCCGCAUAAUGCUUUAAUACGUAUGGUUAUGUACGUCGGCCUGAUUGGUGAAAGAUUAUUAGAAGCCACAAUAAUAAUAUUUUCAAAAAACAAUAAUAUGUGGCUACUGUCUAUUAGCAUGCAUUCCACAUUUCCACAUGAACAAUAUGUUUUUGGGGAGAAUAAGUCCAAAAUUGAUUAAUAUUAUUGAAAUUAUUCAAUGAAAUGUGACUCAAUAUUAUAUCAUUAAUUUAUAAGAUGAUAAUUAUAUAUUCUCCCACAGGAAUGAAUUCUCUCAAGUGUAAUUUACACUUUAAAGAAGGCAAAUGCUAAAUAGUGCCCCCGGGGCACUCUUUAAGCCCUUAAAUAGUAAGUUUUUUAUAGAAUUUUUAUCGGAAUGCGUAAAGUCAAUGCAUUGGAAAUUGUAGUAUUUAACUUUUUGAAUAAAAAGUUUCUUUAAAUGGAAUGCUUAAAGAGUGCCCCGGGGGCACUCGUUAGCAAGACCCUUUAAAGAAUAAAGUGUAAUCUAACACCAUUUAAAUUUAUUUUCUCUAUUUUUUAUAUGUUUCUCUCUUUUAAUCAAUGGUAACAAACCACACUUUAUUCUCUCAAGUGUAAAUUACACCUGAGAGAAUCCAUUCCCGUGAUUCCCAUUCUCCCACACCCUGAAUCUUGACCUUAUAUUUUUAUGUUAUUUUUCAAUUGAUAUAUGAUUUAUUUAUUUAUAAUCUUCAAUAUAGGAUUCUUAACACAACUCUCUUACACUUUAGCUAACUAUUAAAUUUGGUGCGUGAAUUAAUAUAAAUACGGGUGGUCUUUUAGUAAAAAUCAGAGAGUAAAUAUAGUGGAAGCUUAAAUAUAAUCUCAUAAUUUUGGUAUGAGCUAACUCAACUCUAAAAAUCUGACUUGUAGGUAAGAUAAAAAUUGUUUUCAUGUAUAAACAAUAGCUCUCAAUCAAUAGGAAACUCUUAACACAUUCCUUACGUCUUGAAUUAUUGGGCUUAGUGUGGAAAUAUACAUGGUGGGUGACACGAUAGCAGAAACCUGAUAGUAGAUGGCUCAACAAAUCUUGGUACAAAACAAGCAGGGCCAUCUGAAAGAAUAUAGGAAAAAGAGGCGCAGGAUAAAACCAAUUACGCCAGUGAAAAUUUCCUCCACGUAGCAUCUUAGAAUUUUAUGUUUGGGUCUCAACUUUACAAAUCCGGCUUGGUAAAGUGAAAAUUGUCCUCACUAAUAAACAAUAUCAUCUCUCACCCAUUAACACACUUUCACCCGGCUUGGCCAUUAACACACUUUCACGUUAGCAUUAUUAAACUUGGUGCAUGAAUAUAAAUGGUGGGUUGUCCUCACUAAUAAACAAUGUCAUUUCUCACCCAAUGGAAGACUCUUAACACACACUUUCACGUCUAGCAUUAUUAAAAUUGGUGCAUGAAUAUAAAUGGCUCUUAACACAGUUUAACGAUUACUUCAUGUCUUUCAUUUACUUGUGUUUUCAUUAAUUUCUUAGGUUAGUUUACAAUUUUGUAGGAAAAAGAUAUAGAGGAUUUUAUUUAAAACGAAGGAAAAAUAUGUGAAAGAAAUCAGACAAAAUGUAUUCAGAAGUCCUCUAAAUUUUGCGUUUGUAACAGAUAGGUGAAUGAUGAUGUUGGUUUCUCCCCUCUUGCAAUGUUUCUUUUUCUGGUUUCUUCACUAUCAGAGUUAGAACAGAUAGCAGCAACACUAACACUACCUAGCGACAACAUCAAGUCGGAUCUUAGGUUCCGAAAUUACUAAAAUUCAGAUUUAAAUGUGUGAGAGUUUAGCCACUAGACUACUUGACAAAAAAAAAUAACGUUUUUAUAUAUAUAUAUAUUUUGGAAUCACAUGCAUCAACGAAUAUCUAUACAAUUUUCAUGUAAUUUGAUCCCUCCCCUUAUUAUAUAUAUAUGAUAUAACUUAGAAUUUCAGCAUCUUGUACAUUUCAGAUUCAUUGAAUCAAUCACAUAUGCAAUAAUACUAGUACUAUGCUCAACCCAUUAAUUGCUGCAAGCCAAUCAAUUUCAAUGCUUCAACUCACUUUUGUGAACCUAAAAUUUUUCUUGAGAACAAUUAAUUCCUGCAACCAUAGGCUUCACCUUCUCAAAGCUCUUGAUAAUAAUCAAAAAGAGAAUUCUAUACACUAAAGCCAUUCCAACCAAAAUAGUAAAAUCCACCCACUUUGAGUAAUUCAUUUCCAUUUGCCACAAGUUUUUCAAUAUAUCUUCACCACUAACUAUAACUUGAUUGCUAGUAGUGAAUGUUAGACCUUGAAACUCAUUCUUGAACAAUCCUUGAUAUGCAUAUUUAUGAAAUGAAAUAUAGUGCAAAGGGUAUUUCCAAAUUGGAUUUGGUAUAUCACUUGGUAGUCUAUAGAAUCCACCAUCUAACAUCAUCAUCCCUAAAAUUCCAGUACCAAUGAUUAUUCCAAUUAGGAAAUUUGAAACCAUACUUGCAACAAUCAUCAUGAGACCUUCAACUAAAAAGACUGAAAUGAAAAGCAUAGAUAUGAAGUACACAAAUUGUUCAUGUCCUAGGUGAAGUCCAACUAGGUAAUAAACCAAUGUUCCUGGGAUCAAUGACAUCAAUAGCAAGAAUGGAAUUGAAGAUAAUGUGUUUCCAAUGGUAAAUGCAGUGACACCAUAAUGUCCACUUAGUCUUUCUCGUUCAAAUACCUAAUCAAAACACUAAAAUAUUAAGCAUUGUGAUAUAUAUUUGAUCAAGCAUCUCAAUCACAAGAGAGGGGUUUUAAUUAUCUAAAAAGUUAUAAAUGUAAAUUCAUAAUGAUAUACAAAGAAUUAAUUUGGUAUAAGAAAUUCAUAGAAUUGAGAAUUGAGUCUAACUCAACCCUACAAAUCCGACUUGUAAGGUGGGGAUUGCCCUCACUUUAUAAACAUAUAUUCAGGCCAUGUCGCAACUGAUGUGAGACUUCUUAACAUGCCCCCUCGCUCCUAGCACUAUUGGGCUUGGGACGCGGAUAUAUAUAUGNNNNNNNNNNNNNNNNNNNNNNNNNAUCAUGGAAAAGGUUCUGAUACCAUUUGAGAAUUGAGUUUUGGGCUGAAUUCUCAAUUCUAAGAUGGUAUCAAAGCCUCCUCGACGAUCCGUUGGGCUGCCUGCUAUCAAUUUAUGAUCGGACAAUCCACCAUCUAUAUCUGCGCUCAAGCCCAAGAAUGUUAGGCGCGAGAGGGUAUGUUAAGAAGUCUCACAUCGCUUGAGAAAUGGCCUAAAUAUGUGUUUAUAAGUGAGGGCAAUCCACAUCUUACAAGUCGGUUUUGUAGGUUGAGUUAGGUUCAACUCUCAAUUCUAAGAGAAAUCAUAUUUGUUAUCAUUUUCAAUUAUAAAAAUUCAUUUUCAAUUAUAAAAAUACCACCAUGUUUCACUUUGUUUCUUGUUUUUAAAGUUUCAUGCCUUAAAAAUCAGAAAAUCAUGAUUUUGGAGCAUUAUACCAAUUUACAUCGAGGCAUGGAGUUUUGCAUUCAGGCGUGGCAAGUUUGCGCCCAAGCACCCAUAUAUUGGCUCAUGUCAGGGCUGUCAUUUUGCACAUAGACGUGACCAGUUUGCGCCCAAGCACUACAGAUCAGCCUGAUGUUAUAAAAUCUGUUUUUUUUUUUUUUUUUUUUUUUUUUUUUUUUUUUUUUNNNNNNNNUGGUCCAACUCUGGAGCUGAGGAAAUGAUCAUUAAAUCUACAUCCACAUUGAGUUUUUUGGUCACAAAUAGAGAUUAGGGGAGGGUAGAAUUAAGAUUGUAUGUUAAUUCUGGUAAUUUCUUUUGGAAUCUUCUUUGUAAGAAACUUUUUUAAUUUAUGGAACGGAAAGCUGCUCUCUUUACCAGACGUAGGUUAUCUUUGGACAAAAUUUGGGUAAGCAAAUCCUACUGAGUUCUUCUCCUCUUAUCUUGUUCUUUGUUCGUGAUUAAUAUUGGUUUACUUGAUUAUUGGGUGCUAUUAUUUCUGCUAUCACAAAUCAAAGUAUUGGUGUGAGUUUAUUUGAAUUUACAACAAUUGGCAUCCAUUGUGAUGAAAUUGGAACAAAUCAUUAAGUGAGCAUCACGAGUACCAUGUGGGAGAUCGAGAAGUUUACCAGUAGCGAUUUUGGGUUUGUGUUUGUCGGUGACAUGAGUUUAGUUGUUAGGUGAUAUAACUAAACUGAAAAUGUUAAAAACUAACAAUUGAACAUCAACGUACACGUAUUGCCAAGGUGGAUAUAGGCCAGAUCAAUCGACAUGGGUCUAUGAUCGAGCCUAUUUUAGGCCCAAACUAGGCCAAAAAAAUUUAAAUAAAAUCAUGCUAAAGAUUUUUGUUAAAAUCUAUUUAGCUAAAAGGUCAAGAUCUUAUGCUCAUGUUACAAAAAUCUUAUGAAUGACUACGAAAAAUUACUUUACCUUCAUAUCCUCCACAAAAGAAGGGAAUCCAGCAACAGUUACGAAUGUCACAAAUGUAACAACAAACACAAGGAGUGAAGCUCUAGCCUGAAACAAUCAAAUUUAGGCAUUAAAACUAGAUUUUCUUAGCACAUAGAGUAGUUUAUAUCCAAGUUUUGUGCAUUGUAAGUUGUAAAACUCAUACUCUUCUGAACAGAACAUAUCUUACCUGAAUUGAUUCAUUGCUCGAACCAAUGUGAAAGAACAUGGUACCAAGACUUAAAGCCAAUACACCAUAGAUAAGUAGGCGUAACCAAUAAUAGCCUGCUUCGCGAUGCAUAUUAACAAAAGAUCUUCUUGUAAGAAUGAGACACUGAGUAAGAAAAUCAGCAUGUCUUUUCUUCUCUAUGGUGUGCGAGACCUGCAUCCAUUUGUUCAUCAAUUCUUUUGUGAUCUUAGCUUGCAAAAUUUUCAUUUUUGUAUUGCAUGCAUAUUUAAUUAUUUUGAUACUUUGCUCCUUAUAGUGUGUAACAAUACUUACCCUUUUUUUAAUUUCAGAAAGUUCUUUUUGAACUUGGUGGCUAAUUUCAGAUGAAUCAUAUGAUUUAACAAGAAUGUGAAUUGCUUCCUCUGUGCUUAGUCCUCCACCUAGUCCUUUCUCAGGGUCCUGCAAAUAAUAUGCACAAGAAGUGAAAUGCAGCUUUGAAGCUAAAAACAAAAACACAUGAAGUGAAAGAAGAAAAAAAAUCACAAACUGAUCAACUUACCUGUUCAAAAUCCUUGUUAAUUGUGUUCACAAAGUGAUCAGAAGGACUCUGUAGACUUGGGCAGGGAGAAUUAUUUGAUGAGAAAAACUGCACCAAAAAGUAUAAGUAAAUCACACAUUGGUUUUCAAGAUAAAAAUAAAUCUGGAAAAAUUAUAAUAGCAAGUCCACUCUGUUGUUGGAGAGUCUGAGGAAGCUCGAGAGAAACAAUGGGGUCAAUGCUCAAGGAUCACAAGAGAAUGAGACGUCAUAUCUCCACCCAAAACUUUAAGGCAUUAUGGGUCACCUCUCUUAUAAAUCCAACAUUCUUUCCAUACAUAGUCGAUGUGAGACUUAAUCACUCACACUUGAAACUCAACAUAACCACCGUUUUGAUACCAUGGACCACAAGAGAGGGAGACGCCACAUCUCCACCCAAAACCUUAAUGGUGUGAUCGGUUGUGGAGAGAAAGUUAAAAGAGAGAAAUAGGUAGAUUUAUAAGAUAUUGUUUGGUAUGAGAGAAAUAUGAGAGAAAUAAAAGAGAAAGAAGUAUAUUUUCUAUAUCUUUCUUGUUUGGUUUGAUAGAAAGUGAGAAGAGAGAAAUGUAAUUACUUUUUAAAAAUAAAAAAUGCCCCUAACUAAAAAAGUAUGUAUAUAUUAUUUUAAAUAGCGACAAAGGUUAAAUGUGGAAAACUAGAAAAAUUGUAUUAGUUGGCAUUUCUCUUCAUUUUCUCCUCUAAAAUGGAGAGAAACAAAAAGUGUAUGGCCCCAUACAAUCUUUUCUAUUUCUUUGAUGUUCCAAAGAGGAGAAAUAGUCUAUUUUACUUCAACAUCUCUCUCUACUUAACCUCUCUCAACUUCUCUUGUUCCAAUCAAGCCCUAAGACAUUGAGUUAAUGAGUCACCUCUCUUAUAAACCCAUCAUUAUUUCCAUACAUAAAUAAUGUGGGACUUAAUCACUCACACUUGAAAUCCAAUAUCUGUUACAUACAAUACCAAGACAUAAUUAAAUAUAUUUGACAUAUGUAUAUAAUACAUAAAAAGUUGUUGAAAUAUUUAUUUUUAGACUUAAAUAUGCAAAAUGUCCCGAUGAGUUUCUUACCUCACAUGCAGCAGAGACAGGUCCAAAGUAAACUGUUCUACCAGAAGACAGAAGACAAAGAUUAUGAAAAAGUUGAAAAACUUCAGUACUAGGUUGAUGGAUUGAAGUGAUAAUAGUCCUCUGAAUUCCAUCUCUAAGAUCCAAAGUAGCAAUUCUUUUCAUAACAUAAUAAGAAGCAGCACUAUCAA